rnacentral:rRNA from 1 species
GAUGAACGCUGGCGGCGUGCCUAAUACAUGCAAGUCGAGCGAACGGACGAGAAGCCUGCUUCUCUGAUGUUAGCGGCGGACGGGUGAGUAACACGUGGAUAACCUACCUAUAAGACUGGGAUAACUUCGGGAAACCGGAGCUAAUACCGGAUAAUAUUUUGAACCGCAUGGUUCAAAAGUGAAAGACGGUCUUGCUGUCACUUAUAGAUGGAUCCGCGCUGCAUUAGCUAGUUGGUAAGGUAACGGCUUACCAAGGCAACGAUGCAUAGCCGACCUGAGAGGGUGAUCGGCCACACUGGAACUGAGACACGGUCCAGACUCCUACGGGAGGCAGCAGUAGGGAAUCUUCCGCAAGGGGCGAAAGCCUGACGGAGCAACGCCGCGUGAGUGAUGAAGGUCGUCGGAUCGUAAAACUCGGUUAUUAGGGAAGAACAUAUGUGUAAGUAACUGUGCACAUCUUGACGGUACCUAAUCAGAAAGCCACGGCUAACUACGUGC